UACGUAGGGACCAAGCGUUGUUCGGAUUUACUGGGCGUAAAGGGCGCGUAGGCGGCUUGUCAAGUCACUUGUGAAAUCUCUGGGCUUAACCCAGAACGGCCAAGUGAAACUGACAUGCUAGAGUGCAGAAGGGGCAAUCGGAAUUCUUGGUGUAGCGGUGAAAUGCGUAGAUAUCAGGAAGAACACCAAUGGCGAAGGCAGCUCUCUGGGACGGUACUGACGACUGAGACGCGAAAGCGUGGGGAGCGAACAGG
rnacentral:rRNA from 1 species